GCCUCCGUGGCCCAAUCGGCUAGCGCGUUCGGCUGUUAACCGAAAUUUAGACCCAACCGGGGGCG